AUGAACGCUAGCUACCGGCUUAACACCUGCCAGUCGAGGGGCAGCAUGGUCUUAGCUUGCUCAGGCCGAUGGCGACCGGCGCACGGGUGAGUAACACGUAUCCAACCUGCCGUCUACUCUUGGACAGCCUUCUGAAAGGAAGAUUAAUACAAGAUGGCAUCAUGAGUCCGCAUGUUCACAUGAUUAAAGGUAUUCCGGUAGACGAUGGGGAUGCGUUCCAUUAGAUAGUAGGCGGGGUAACGGCCCACCUAGUCUUCGAUGGAUAGGGGUUCUGAGAGGAAGGUCCCCCACAUUGGAACUGAGACACGGUCCAAACUCCUACGGGAGGCAGCAGUGAGGAAUAUUGGUCAAUGGGCGCAGGCCUGAACCAGCCAAGUAGCGUGAAGGAUGACUGCCCUAUGGGUUGUAAACUUCUUUUAGAAAGGAAUAAAGUCGGGUAUGUAUACCCGUUUGCAUGUACUUUAUGAAUAAGGAUCGGCUAACUCCGUG
rnacentral:rRNA from 1 species